UACGGAGGGUGCAAGCGUUGCUCGGAAUUAUUGGGCGUAAAGGGUAGGUAGGUGGUCUCAUUUGUCUGGGGUGAAAGCCUUGAGCUUAACUCAAGAAGUGCCUCAGAAACGGUGAGACUAGAGUCCUGGAGAGGGUCGUGGAAUUCCUGGUGUAGCGGUGAAAUGCGCAGAUAUCAGGAGGAACACCGGUGGCGAAGGCGGGUCUCUGGGCCGAUACUGGCGCUGAGGAGCGAAAGCGUGGGGAGCGAACAGG
rnacentral:rRNA from 1 species